UUGUAGAUCAAAGAGUUCAGCAAUGGGUGUUUGAGAUCAACUCUGUUGCUAAUGAUGCCAUUGCUAUAUUGGAGACUUAUAGCUUAGAGGCUAGUAAAGGUAACGACCCUAGAUUUGCUAGUCGUCUGAAGGCUUGCACUUGCAUCUGCAGGAAGGAGACAAAAUUCUACAACGUCAGCAUCACUAAAGCAUUGAAUCAUGGAUAUCUCUCACAAACGAGAGACUUAUGGUAUUAGAGAUAUCAAUAAUGCAGGAGAAGGGCCAAGUAAUUGCCCAAACAAUCAGUAUGACAUGGUUAGAACAUUGAGGAGAACUACCUCAUAUGUAGAUGAGGAUCACAUUUUUGUUGGCUUUCAGGAUGUUGUACAAGCAUUGCUAGCUCAACUUCUCAAAGCAGAGCUUCACAGAAGCGUCAUCUCCAUUUAUGGUAUGGGCGGAUUAGGCAAGACAACUCUUGGGAGAAACCUAUACAUCAGUCCUAAUAUAGUCUCUAGCUUCCCUACACGUGCUUGGAUAUGUGUUUCUCAAGAGUACAACACCAUGGAUCUCCUUAGGAAUAUCAUAAAAUCCAUCCAAGGUUGCACCAAGGAAACUCUAGAUUUGUUGGAAAAGAUGACAGAGAGAGAUCUAGAAAUUUACCUUCGUGAUCUUUUAAAAGAACCCAAAUACCUUGUGGUGGUCGAUGAUUUAUGGCAUAGAGAAGCAUGGGAAAGUUUGAAACGAGCAUUUCCAGAUAGCAAGAACGGCAGCAGAGUAAUUAUUACUACACUAAAAGAGGAUGUCACUGAAAGAGCAGAUAACAAAGGUUUUGUCUAUAGCUUCGCUUCCUGAGCCAAGAAGAAAGUUGGUAUCUCUUUUGUAGGAAACUACUUGAUGUUCGGGCAAUGGUCUCAGCAAUGGAAAGGCUAGCAAAGGAAAUGGUGGACAAGUGUGGAGGUUUACCUCUUGCAGUUGUUGUAUUAAGCGGACUACUUUCACAUAAAAGGGGGUUCGAAGAAUGGCAAAAGGUGAAGGACCACCUUUGGCAAAACAUUAAAGACGACUCUAUUGAAGUCUCCUGCAUACUAUCAUUGAGCUACAACGAUUUGUCAAUUGCGCUCAAGCAGUGUUUCCUGUACUUUGGUAUUAUUCCAGAAGAUCACGUGGUCCAUGUUGAUCACAUAUUAUGGUUGUGGAUGGCUGAAGGAUUUGUACCAACAGGAAAAGAAAUAAUGGAGGAUGUUGUUGAAGGCUUCUUGAAUGAGUUGAUAAGAAGAAGCUUGAUACAAGUGGUACGCACAUUUUGGGAAAAAGUUGGUAAUUGUAGGAUUCAUGAUCUGCUUCGCGAUCUUGCCGUACAAAAAGCAUUGGAGGUAAACUUUUUUGACAUUUAUGAUCCAAGAAAGCACUCCAUAUCCUCCUUGUGUCUUAGACAUGCCAUUCAUAGUCAAGGAAAAAGGUAUCUCUCACUUGAUCUUUCUAACUUGAAGGUUAGGUCACUUAUGUUCCUUGAUACGGAAUUUUUAAAGAUGGGUCUUAUAAAGUUCCAUAAUGUGUUCCAACAUCUAUAUGUGUUGUACUUGGAGAUGCGUGUUGACAAUGUCUAUAGUACCUGAUGCCAUAGGAAGUUUGUACCACCUCAAGUUCUUAAGAUUGAGAGGUAUCUAUGAUCUUCCCUCUUCCAUUGGCAACCUCAAGAAUUUACAGACACUUCUUGUCAAUGACUAUGGAUACUUUUGCCAACUACCCCGCGAGACAGCUGACUUGAUAAAUUUAAGACAUUUAGUUGCUUCGUAUUCAAUACCUCUGAAAUGUAUAAGGAAACUCACUAGUCUUCAAGUUCUUAAAGGCAUCCAUUGUGAUCAGUGGAAAGAUGUUGACCCUGUUGAUUUAGUCAAUCUUCGAGAAUUAAGCAUGCAUGAGAUUACCAAAACUUACUCACUGAACAACAUUAGCAGCUUGAAAAACCUUAGCACUCUAAAAUUGUGCUGUGUAGCUUAUGAAUCAUUCCCAAACCUUGAAUAUCUUAGUUCUUGUCAAAACCUUCAGAAAUUGUGGUUAGAGGGGCAAAUAGAAAAACUGCCUCUCUCAGAGCAGUUUCCGAAUUCCAUCGCCAUGAUGGUCCUUCGGUACUCAGAACUCAUGGAAGAUCCCAUGUCUACUCUAGGGAUGCUGCCAAAUCUAAGGAAUCUCGAUUUGUUUAGAGCUUACGGAGGAAAAGAAAUUACUGCAUUGAUAACAACUUCAGUCAACUGGAGAUCCUUCGUCUUGAUUGUCUUGAGAACUUAGAAAGGUGGCAUUUAGCCACAAGUGCCAUGCCUCUGAUUAAAGGUCUUGGUAUCCAGCGUUGUCCAAAGCUACAUGAGAUUCCCGAUAGAAUCAAAGACGUAGAGAGAACUCCUUUUCAAUGAAGCUUUUCAAGCAUAUGUGAUGUCCUAUUUCAGCUCUUUCAUAAUCGUAGAGGUAAUAAAUCCCAAUCCCCAAUGAUCAUUUCUUUAAUUCCUUUUAAUUACUCACUCUGCCACAGAUUUGUUAGUAUAAUGUUUAAUUUUUAUACUAUGACAGUACAACUUUUAAUACAUUAUCAACAUACUAAAAGAAGUCAACUAUAAAUAAUUGUCUAUAAGUAAAUCACUUAUGCAUGAGAUUUUGUCUUGUAUCCCAACAACAACAUACCCAGUACUGUAUUCCAACAGAAUGAGUUCUGGGGGGUAGAGUGUACGCGAACCUUACAUCCACCUCAAAGGUCAGGUAGAGAGACUAUUUCUGAUAAACUCUCGGCUCAAGACAAAAACAGACUAGAAAAAGACAUAAUGGAAGUAGAAGAGACAAUAGGUAGUAACAAAACAACAGAUGAAAGCAGAACAGUACUACAACCAAAUAAUAUUACAAUCAAACUAUGAUUAAUCAUCAAUUUAGGUUAUUGAUAAAUCUUUUGUUCUUUAUUGAAUACUAUUCCUCAUAUUAAAUAGUGUCUUACAAUUUUGUGAAUAGGAGAAGCAACAGCUGGCAGGUGUGGAACUUUUGCCAAGCAGUUCAAGAGAUUUACAUGCAGCAAGUCAGAUUUUAGAAAUAAUAAGCAUGUUUUAUUUUUUUUUGGCUUUAGGUCAUGUGUUUAAAUUAUAAGUGUGACGUUCAAGAUUUUUUUUAAAAAAUCUCCUUGUAUAAAUUUCUUGAAUCUUGUCAAAUUUAAUAAAUCUCCACCUUGGCAAGAUUCUCCAUUUUCAACUUUCUCUCAACAACUUUUGAUUGUGUCUUCAACCUUAAUCUUCAAUGUUCAACAAUGUUGAUCAAGUUCAAACAAUGUUGAAACUUGACCGCAGUAACCACUUUUGUCAGCAUAUCGGCAGGAUUAUCCGUAGUAUGAAUUUUCUACACUGUGACUCCACCUUCUUCUAUGAUGUCUCGUAUGAAAUGAUAUCGGACAUCAAUGUGCUUCGUCCUUGCAUGAUAAACUUGGUUCUUUGCUAAUUGAAUAGCACUUUGACUAUCACAAAAUAUUGUGAUUCCUUCUUGUCCAAUACCAAGCUCUCUAAGCAAUCCUUGAAGCCAAAUUGCCCCUUUGCAGCCUCUGUAAUUGCCAUAUACUCUGCCUCAGUGGUAGACAAAGCAACUCUUGACUGCAAAGUAGGCUUCCAACUAACUGGUGCGUUUGCAAUAGUGAAAACAUAACCAGUAGUUGAUCUUCGUUUGUCCAAAUCACCUGCAUAAUCUGAGUCACAAUAUCCAACAAGAUAUUGACUAUCUUUAUGCUCAUAAACCAAGUCAAUAUCUACAGUAUUAUGAAUAUACCGUAGAAUUCAUUUUACAGCCUGCCAAUGAUCCUUUCCAGGAUUAUGCAUAUACCUGCUUACAACUCCAACAGCGUGUGAAAUAUCUGGCCUUGUGCAAACCAUUGCAUACAUCAAGCUACCAACAACAUUCGCAUAUGGUACUUUUGACAUAUAUUCUUGUGCAACUUCACUCUUUGGCGACAUAGCAUCACUAAGCUUAAAAUGAGGAGCAAGCGGAGUGCUAACCGACUUCGUUUUCUCAUUCAUGCCAAAUCGAUUUAGUACCCUCUUCAAAUAUUCUUUCUGAGAUAAAAAAAAGCUUCUUUGAAUGACGAUCUCUUUUUAUCUCCUUGCCAAGAAUCCUCUUUGCCUCGCCCAAAUCAUUCAUCUCAAACUCCUUUUUUUGUUGAAUCUUUAGCUUCUCAAUUUCCUCUUGACUUUUAGAAGCUAUCAACAUAUCAUCAACAUAUAGGAGAAGAUAGAUAAAGGAAUCGUCUUCAAGCUUGCGCAAAUACACACAAUGAUCGUAUUUGUUUCUUAUGUACCUUUGCUGCAACAUAAACUUGUCAAAUCGUUUGUACCAUUGUCUAGAAGAUUGUUUCAAUCCAUACAACGAUUUUUCAAGUUUGCACACCAUAUUUUCUUUUCCAUCAACUUUGAAUCCUUCUGGCUGAGUCAUGUAGAUUUCCUCUUCCAAGUCUCCAUGUAAAAAUGCAGUUUUUACAUCCAACUGAACUAGUUCAAAAUUCAACUGUGCUACCAAAGCCAACAAAACUCUAAUGGAGGAGUUUUUCACAAUUGGAGAAAAUACCUCAUUAUAGUCAAUUCCCUCCUUUUGAGUGUAUCCUUUGGCCACCAAUCUUGCUUUGUAGCGAACAUCUUCUUGGUUAGGAAAUCCUUCUUUCUUUGCAAAUACCCAUUUGCACCCAAUUGCUUUCUUGCCAUCCGGGAGAUUGGCCAAUUUCCAUGCAUGAUUCUGAUGAAAGGACUGCAUUUCUUCAUCUAUGGCAAACCUCCACUUAUCUUCUUCUGAACUUUGGAUUGCAUCUUUAUAAGUGGUAGGAAUGUCAUCCGCUGCAAUUGAGUCCGCACAAGCCACCACAUCUGUGAGUCGAGCAGGUUUUCUUAUUGUCCUUUUUGGCUUGCUGGUUGCUAUUGAUUCAAGUUGUGGUUGAGGUUCUUGAGAUGGAACCUCCCCUUCGACUGGCUCUUCUUCCAGAGGAAACACUUCUAUUGUUUCCUCAUUUGAUCCAUGUUUUAGGAAAAUUAUAUUUCCCUCAAACUCCACCUGCUUUGAAGCACCAUCAGUUUGUUUGACUUCUUCAACUGUUACCUUAUUUGUCAAGGCAGAUUCAUCAAAGGUAACAUCCCUACUGAAAAUAAUUUUUCUUGUCUCUGGACACCAUAAACGAUAUCCUUUGACUCCAGAAGUAAUUCCCAUAAAUAAAGCUUUAUUUGCUCUUGGGUCCAAUUUUGACUCCCUUACAUGAUAAUAUGCAAUUGAGCCAAAUACAUAUAAAGAACCAUAAUCUUCAGCAGGUUUUCCAUACCAUUUUUCUAAUGGUGUCUUCCCACCAAUAGCAGCAGAUGGUAGACGAUUAAUCAGGUGACAUGCAUAAUGUUAUUGUCUCAGCCCAAAAUUCUUUGCCCAAGCCAGCAUUGGACAACAUACACCGAACCUUCUCCAGCAAAGUUCGGUCCAUGCAUUCUUCCACUCCAUUCUGUUGUGGUGUAUUUCUAACGAUGAAAUGUCUGACGAUGCCAUUUUCCUCACAAAUUUUCUGAAAAAGAUCAUUUUUGUAUUCUCCACCAUUGUCUGUGCGAAGACACUUGAUCUUUUUUCCACUUUGAGUUUCUAUCAUCACUUUCCAUUUGAGAAAAAUUCCCAAUACUUCAUCUUUUGUUUUCAUCGUAUACACCCACAAUCUUAGGGAAAAGUCAUCAACAAAGGUUUCAAAAUAGUGUUUCCUACCUAAUAAAUGUGUUUUGGAAGCACCCCAAACAUUUGAAUGAACAUAAUCCAAAAUACCUUUAGUAUUAUGGAUAGUUGUUCCAAAUCAUGGAAAUCUCUCGCAAACGAGACACUUAUGGUAUUACAAAUAUCAAUAGUAAUGCUGGAGAAGGGCCAAGUAAUUAGUCUGCCAUGGUUAGAACAUUGAGGAGAACUACCUCCUAUGUGGAUGACCAGGAUUACAUUUUUGUUGGACUUCAAGAUGUUGUACAAACAUUGUUAGAUGAACUUCUCAAACCAGAGACUCGUUGAAGUGUUGUCUCCAUUUAUUGGCAUGGGCGGAUUAGGCAAGACCACUCUUGCAAGAAACCUCUACAACAAUCCUAAUAUAGUCAAUAGCUUCCCUACACGCGCAUGGAUAUGUGUUUCUCAAGAGUACAACACAAUGGAUCUCCUUAGGAAUAUCAUAAAAUCCAUCCAAGGUUGCACUAAGGAAACUCUAGAUUUGUUGGAAAGGAUAACUGAAAAAGAUCUAGAAAUUUACCUUCGUUAUCUAUUAAAAGAGCACAAAUAUAUACCUUGUGGUGGUUGAUGAUGUAUGGCAGAUAGAAGCAUGGGAGAGUUUGAAAAGAGCAUUUCCGGAUGGCAAGAAUGGCAGCAGAGUCAUUAUUACCACGCGCAAAGAGGAUGUCGCUGAAAGAGCAGACAACAGAGGUUUUGUCCAUAAACUUCGUUUCCUAAGCCAAGAAGAAAGUUGGGAUCUCUUUAGUAGGAAACUACUUGAUGUUCGAACAAUGGUUCCAGAAAUGAAAAGUCUAGCUAAGGAUAUGGUCGAAAAGUGUAGAGGCUUACCUUUUGCAAUUGUUGUAUUGAGCGGACUACUUUUGCAUAAAAAAGAGCUAAAAGAAUGGGAAAAGGUGAAAGAUCACCUUUGGAAGAACAUUAAAGAAGAUAAAUCUAUUGAAAUCUCCAACAUACUAUCCUUAAGCUACAAUGAUUUAUCAACUGCGCUCAAGCAAUAUUUUCUCUACUUUGGUAUUUUUCCACAAGAUCAAGUGCUCGGGGCUGAUAACAUAAAAUGGUUGUGGAUGGCCGAGGGUUUCAUACCCAGAGGAGAAGAAAGAAUGGAGGAUGCCGCAGAAGGCUUCUUGAAUGAACUUAUAAGACGAAGCUUGGUUCAAGUGGCUAAAACAUAUUGGGAAAGAUUUACUGAAUGUAGGGUUCAUGAUUUACUCCAUGAUCUUGCGAUACAAAAGGCAUUGGAGGUAAACUUCUUUGACAUUUAUGAUCCAAGAAGCCACUCCAUAUCCUCUUUAUGUAUCAGACAUGUGAUUCAUAGUGAAGGAGAAAGGUACCUCUCACUUGAUCUUUCUAACUUAAAGUUGAGGUCAAUUAUGUUCUUCGAUCAAAAUUUUCGUAAGAUGAGUCUUAUAAACUUCAGGAGUGUGUUCCAACAUCUAUAUGUGUGUCUAUAGUACCUGAUGCCAUAGGAAGUUUGUACCACCUCAAGUUCUUAAGAUUGAGAGGCAUCCAAGGUCUUCCCUCUUCCAUUCGCAACCUUAAGAAUUUACAGACACUGUAUGUCAAUGACGACAUACAGUAUUGUGAACUACCCCAUGAGACAACUGACCUAAUAAAUCUAAGACAUUUAGUUUCCCUGUAUUCAAAACCUCUGGAACAUAUAAGCAAACUCACUAGUCUUCAAGUUCUUCAAAACAUCUGUUGUGAUCAAUGGAAAAAUGUUGACCCUGUUGAUUUAGUCAAUCUUCGAAAAUUAAGCAUGCAUGAUAUUACCAAAUCUUACUCCCUAAACAACAUUAGCACCUUGAAAAACCUUAGCACUCUCAGAUUGUUGUGUUGUGCUGAUGAAUCAUUCCCAUCUCUUGAAUUUGUUAAUUGUAGUGAAAAGCUCCAGAAAUUGAGGUUAGAAGGGAGAAUAGAGAAACUGCCUCAUCUGUUUCCAAAUUCCAUCACAACGAUGGUUCUGAGGUUCUCAGUACUGACAGAAGAUCUGAUGCCUAUUUGGGAAUAUUGCCAAAACCUGAGGAAUCUCGAUUUGCUUAGAGCUUAUGAAGGAAAAGAAAUAAUGUGCAGUGAUAACAGCUUCAGUCAACUAGAGUUCCUUCGUCUUUAUGAUCUUGAGAAGCUAGAAAGAUGGGAUUUAGGCACAAGUGCCAUGCCUCUGAUUAAAGGUCUUGGUAUCCAUGACUGUCCAAAUUUAAAGGAGAUUCCUGAGAGAAUGAAAGACGUGGAGUUGUUGAAGAGGAAUUAUACGUGGUGAAGCUUUUGAAGCAUAUAUCAUGUCUUAUUUUGGCCUCAUAAUCGUAGAUUUUAGUGUUUCUGCCAAGCACUUGAAGACAUUGGUUAUUUCAGGGCUGUCAAUGAGAGUGGUUUUAGUGUUUGAUUUCUUAUUGUUUUAAGCUUUUUGAGUGAGUGUAAUUGGUUUGAAGAUAGUUGUUUUUGGCAAAAAUGAUUUUGUGAUGUUUUAAUUAAUUGUCUACUGUAUGUUCCCCUACUUAGCCACAUUUAAGACAAUGCUUUAUAUGUUAAAAUGUGUUGGUGUAAUAUACCCUAAAUAUAAUAAGUAAAUAAAAUGACAAAAAAUGCAUAAACAAAUCUUUAGGCUGAGGCACGGAUAUCUCGCUCUCUUUAAGGAGAUUCAAGCCCACUGCAGCAUAAUCUACACCGAUCCAGCAGUAUCACUCUUGACUUGUCCCCUCUAGGAUACAACAGCCCAACAAUGUGUACAACUCAAGCAACUCCGGAUUAGUUAAAGAGUCCAAAGCUCCACAUAAGAACACUUUCCUUCAACAUAUAAAUACUCUCUUGUCUAUAGUGAAUAUAGUUGAAGACUUAGAAUAUUUUUCUAUGUCUCAACUCUCUCUUUCACUAUUACACACUACAAUAUUACUUCACACUUCUCAUCUUUUUGAGAUACUUCACAAAGGAAGAAACACAACUAUUUAUAGGUGAAGAAGUCUCCCAUAUAAUCAAUAGGUAGAAUGAGGGGUAGUAAUGUGGCUGGAUAAAUGUGAUAGAUGUUACAUGAGUUACAAGAAACUAAUGGUCAUAUGAGUUACAAGAAACUAAUGACCAUGAUAGUUACAAGAACUAAUGGCCAUAUAGGUUACAAGAACCAAUAGUCAUCUUCUACCACAAUUUAUACCCACUAACUUAUGCACUUAAUAUUUUAUUUUAAUAAUAAAAUGUAUAUACACCAACAAAAUGAAAUUAAAAAUAGUAUAUGGUGUUAUGAAUCAACCCCAGCCCAAUAGGUGUUCUUAUUGAGGACGGGAGUAUUGUUAUGAAUCAGCCCCAGCCCAAUAGGGAUACCAACAAGGAUAUCACACAAAUAGAUAUUGGGCCGAGUAAAAGCAAUCGGGCCAGGCCUUCACAAAUUGUUUGGGAUCCAGGCCCAUUUACACUUUGUUAAAAAGGGCAAAUGAGUUGGAAAGAAGGAUUAGGAAAAUUGUUAAAGAAAGAGUGUUUCCUCUCAUCUCCCUUCUUAGUCUAAGCUUCUCAUCCCCUUCCUAUGGGUUCUUCUGAUUUCUCAUCUCCUUGCUAUUAUCUAUCCUAGUUUCUUUAUCUUCUGUAAUUUCUAUUGUACUAGUACUAUUUCUAUGUUGCUGUAGUACACCAGUUAAUACAAUCAGUGAAAAGAGUUUGGCUACUGUUCUUUUGUGAUUAGUGUUUGUUACAUAGGUGCUUUCAUCCAGAGAACUCCAUCAUCAGCUAUGUUUCUACCUAGAUUCAAUGGCAAUGACAACGGCAACCCGAAGAACUGGAUUUUUCGGGCAGAAUUGUACUUCACAUACCUUGGUUUCGACGAGAAGGACUGGCUACCUCUUCCUUCCUUCUACUUUGAUGGUGAAGCUCUUUCCUGGUUCGAUUGGUUGUUUCGCAACAAGCUACUCGUCGAUUGGAACCAUUUCAAGGAUGCAUUUACUCAGCGAUUUCAACAACAAACCAACAUAAAUGUGUUGGGGCGUCUAGCUAAUUCCUCACAGGUUCAUUAUGACUACAUUAGUUCUGUCCCUAUAGUUUCACAAUCAGUUGUGGUGUCUCCUUUUUCUGCUUCCAGUCAUUUUUCAAGGUCCUCUGCCAUUGCAUCUGCCUGCAACGCUGAAAGCUCACAGGCAGACCAGGUGCUCGAUGAAAGUUCUCACGGCAUUAAAUUAAAUGAGGUAAGGUCAAUUGCACCCCGAGUAUCACUCCUAGUUCCUUUUGAUGGUCCAGAAGUUGUUAGGCCAAAUGAACAUCUCGAACGAGAUAUGUCAAUGAGGUAUGUAGAUGUUAACUCUCUUGCUAGUGGCUCUCCUAAAUUGAAAACUGAUUCGGAGACCUUCGUAGACUGGUAUCUUUCUGAUUUGUUCAUGGAACCUGUGGGUAAUGAAAAUCUGUAUCUCAAUAUCUCGACAAGUUCAAUACAUUCUGUUAAAAUACUUCCUGACAUUGAAAAUGGAAAAUCCACCGGGGCGUUCAAUGAUCAAAAUAUUUCAAGUCAAUUUCCAUUGGUUCCUGCUGCUAAUUUAUUUAUUAUAAUCAUGCCUGUGAUUGCAAUGGACCUUUGUGUAUGGGAUCCAGGAAUAUGUUUCGAGUUCAUGGCUCUAACAGAUUUUAUAGAGAACGCAGAGGAAUUAUUUUUGUUGGGCUGUCCUUGCAAGUUUUUCUUAAAUGUAGAUUCAAACUCUAUGAGUAGAGUGUGGGAUCCGGGACAAACAUGGUGUGUAUAUUGCUACUUCUCUAAUGGGUCAUGCGUUAUGUAUAACUACAUUGCAUUCACAUGUCCUUCAAUCGCAUAUGAACUAGUCGUUGAGGAAUAUUUUUAUGUAAACUAUGACGUUUUGGUGGACAACUUCAAGCAAACAUCAGUUUUGCGUCCCGAUGUCAGCACUAGUUUUGACAGGAAAAUUGAGAAUUGCUACCUAGUGCUUGAUAGAAAGAAUCAUAUUGCAUUACUUAGUUCUACUAUAGGGCUUCAGAACUUUGAUGCUCAUUUUAAUGUGCUCCCAAUUGGCAUCACUGGCCCCAUGAAAGUUUUUGGAAGACAUAGUGUUGCGCACGAAGUACUAUCUAAUUCUGCCCAUCACUGGUCCUUGAAGAUUUGUUUACAUGGACUUUUCCAUAAUUGGUUUGCUGGAAGAACUCAUUGGUUUGUUUUUGUUGUUAUUAAUGGUGAUGUUGUGGGAAGUUCAACUAGAAUUGUCCAUUUAAACAAAUGGGUUUCUGGGCAGCGGCUGAAGGAUAAUGUACAAAUGCCUAGGCAUAACAAUGUGUCAUGGAGGGGAAAUUCUGGGCUGCAAGAUGGAAAGUAUAUUGAUUUUAUUAAAUAUAAAUAUUUGGUGGUGGUCUACAAUGAUGCCAGAGAUGGACUACAACUUAGUUUGCCUUUAUUUCAUGUUCUUACUAUGCUAAGCUGGAGUGUGAGUGUGCAUCUUGCAAAUUAUAAAGUUGUUGAACUAAAUCAUGUCAGGGAUGUUUUCAAAGCAGCCUUCACUAUGAUGUCCAUUCUAAGGAUAUUGUGGCCUAGGAGACAUGUAAUUGGAGAAAAUGAUGAGUUUAUCGGCAAGAAGGCUGCUUAUGCAUUGAGCCAAGGCGUUGGCGUUAUAGCCUGUAUUGGAGAGCUGUUACAAGAAAGAGAAGCAGGAAAAACUUUUGAUCUCUGUUUCCAGCAAUUGAAGGCUUUUGCAGAUGCUAUACCAAGUUGGGAUAAUGUUGUCAUUGCGUAUGAGCCUGUCUGGGCUAUUGGAACUGUUGCCUCGCCUGAUUUUUCUUGUCACAACCAUGUCCAACAGGCAGUAAACUGUUUUGACACAAUAUACAAAGCUUGGUAUGAAGCUCUUGAUUUUUCUCACAAGGGACUUGCAGGUGUUUGCCAUCAAAUGCACUUCGUCCAUCUUAAAGUCAAUGUAACUGCACCUAGAUUACCAAUGCUUUCGUUGGCGAGAUCUCUUGACUUGAACCUUGAGGACAAGGUUCUUAUUGAGGACGGGAGUAUUGUUAUGAAUCAGCCCCAGCCCAAUAGGGAUACCAACAAGGAUAUCACACAAAUAGAUAUUGGGCCGAGUAAAAGCAAUCGGGCCAGGCCUUCACAAAUUGUUUGGGAUCCAGGCCCAUUUACACUUUGUUAAAAAGGGCAAAUGAGUUGGAAAGAAGGAUUAUGAAAAUUGUUAAAGAAAGAGUGUUUCCUCUCAUCUCCCUUCUUAGUCUAAGCUUCUCAUCCCCUUCCUAUGGGUUCUUCUGAUUUCUCAUCUCCUUGCUAUUAUCUAUCCUAGUUUCUUUAUCUUCUGUAAUUUCUAUUGUACUAGUACUAUUUCUAUGUUGCUGUAGUACACCAGUUAAUACAAUCAGUGAAAAGAGUUUGGCUACUGUUCUUUUGUGAUUAGUGUUUGUUACAUAUGGUACUCUCACUUGUCCACAAUUUAGUAUUUUCUGUUCCUCCUUCAAUAGCAAAGGAGUUCAUUUAUCUAACUAGUUUUGGUAUCUUAAGUUUUUGGUUUCUGGUUUCAGACAGAUUCGAAAACUACUUAUACUGCAAAAUUAGAGAUGCAACGCAUACCAAAAUAAUCCAAUCACUAGAAGUCUAAUUUACUGACUCAAAUUUAAUUACAUGCCUUCUUCACCUAACUGACUCUAGAUUUAUUGGAAAGGAUGACAGAAGGAAAUCUAGAAAUUUAUCUUCGUGAUCUAUUAAAAGAAUGCAAAUGUGAUGUAUAGCAGAGAGAAGCAUGGGAGAAUUUGAAAAGAGCAUUCCCGGAUAGCAAGAAUGGAAGCAGAGUUAUUAUUACCACGCCCAAAGAGGAUGUCGUUGAAAGAGCAGACGACAGAGGUUUUGUCCAUAAACUUUGUUUCUAAGCCAUGAAGAAAGUUGGGAUCUCUUUUGUAGGAAACUACUUGAUGUUCGAGCAAUGACCUCAGCAAUGGAGAGGCUAGCAAGCUAUGGAUAUGGUGGACAAGUGUAGAGGUUUACCUCUUGCAAUUGUUGUAUUAAGGAGGCUAGAAGAAUGGCAAAAGGUGCAGGACCGCCUUUGGCAGAACAUUAAAGACGACUCUAUUGAAUUCUCCUACAUACUAUCAUUGAGCUACAACCAUUUGUCAACCUUAGAUGGAAUAAGCACACCAUCACUAUCACAAUAAGAAAUAUCAAUCUUCUCAUACCUAUCAUGAAAAAAGGAUCACUGGAGGAGCUUAGAGCGAAAAAUCAUGAAAACCAUUCAUUCGAGAAAUCAUAUCAUCAUCAUCAUAUGUUAUUAAAAGUAGGAAGAAUCUAAGUCAAAAGUUGAAUUAUGAAAAAACCCCUUACCUAUUAAUUUUUUUUUUUAAAAUCAUUUUAAAAAAUUAUUUUUCCAUUUAAAAUCAACUUCAUAACUACACCUCUGCAUUUUCCUAACUUAUCAUCAUAUUAUCAUAAAUAAAUAAUAAAUAAUAAUAAUUAUUAAAAGUGGAAAGCUCCAAAAUUUGAAGUUGGGUCGUCAUUUUACCCCUAUAUUAAAUAAAAAAGUUAUAAAAUAUUUUAUUAAUUAAAUAUUAAAUAGUAAUAAUUUGUCAUUUUUUCUUCACAUAUAAAAAAAGAGAAAUAAAACUUCUAUGAAAUUAGUAAAUAGUAAGUAUAUAUAUAAGUGGAACCAAAAUAUUUUUAAAAUUGAAUUAUCAAAAUGUCCAUAAAAUAUUGAAUGACAUUAAUAUCCUUCAAUCAAAUAUUAUUCCUACAAUAAUAUUGUACAAGAAUAUAAAUAUACACUUAGUUCAAUGCAUUAGGCUAUUUAAUAUAUAUAUAUAUACACGAAAAUACCCAUUAAUAUUUUGCUACAAGUGAAUUUGGCCGCGCUACGCGCAGUGGAAUUACUCAUUUAACAAAUUCAUUAUUAAUUUGAAAAUUGAUUUACUACUAUAUAGUUUAUGAACUAUAAUGCUAAUUGUUUUGAAAAUUCUUUAAAUGUUAUAAACCAUAAAGAAUUGUUUAUAUAUACUUUAUAAAUUUUAAACAUGUUAGCUUUCAUAUAAAAGUGUUGCUUGUUACAACAAAAAUUAACAUUCUAUUUGGUAGAAGAAAGAAAGAAAACUAUAGGUAAAUAGAUGAGUCAAAGAUAUCAAAAUACUUGUGAAUGAUCGUGAUUUAUCGAGCAAGAACUCAUAUGUUAAACUAUUUUAAAUUUUUUAUUAUGCACUUUUCAAGUUCAUUAGUACUAUUCUCUUUCAGAUAGUAUAGUUACAGUAUAAUUUUAAAAAAAGGACCGACAUGCUCGUGUUUUCUUCACCUUUGGUUGUUUCUUUGUUCUUCACAGUUGUUUUAUAUUUCCCUUUUGUUUCAAUACACUCUAAAGAUAGAAAUGUUCUUCAAACUCCACAAAUAGAACAAACAUGUAAAAGAAUAACUUAUGAAACUUAUAGAAACAUUUGAGAAGAUGAUAUACUUGUAGUGCUCUCCACUUAAACGAAUAUCUGAGAUCCUAAUAAUUUUACGGAGAUCCUAAUAAUUUUACCUGAAAUCUUUCUGUUGCCUGCACAAAAAUGACAUAUCCGAUGAUGAUAUUUGGUUGCCGAUAAUGAUAUGUAACUGCAAAACAAUUAUGAUAAAACAUAAAAUAAAAAAAGAUAGUACACAUACUACAGAAGGAAAGCAAACAUGAUCGGUUAGGUAACGAUUGCUUCUAAUUUUGCUUCAAAUUCUGAGUUUUAAGUGCAUGUUAAAUCUGUUACAAUAGUCAUUUAAGGUGGAAUUAAUGAUGGUAUCUAAUUGCUACGUUUAUUUAUAUUUUAUUUAUGAGUCUUUUAAAUUCAUUUGUUAGUAGCAGAAAUGAAACAAAAACAAUACAGGAAAAGGUGAAAAAUGGUCGUUUCAUCUUUUAUUAAUAAAUGAGAUGACAUUUGUUUUUUCAAACAUAUUACACAAAUUAAAACUUAAUAAAAAGCUCAAAAAAAAAAAAAGCAUAUUACACAAAUUAAAACUUAAUAAAAAGCUCAAAAUAAAAUAAAAUAGAGAAAUAUUAUAUAUAUAUAUAUAUAUAUAUGAUAUGAUUUAUUUAACUCCUAUUUAUGUUAUAUAUAUAUAUUUCUAGAAAGUUAAGUCUAUCUUCUAAUAAAUAUAAAUAAUAAUAUAGCAAAUGAAUGAACUAGAUAAAUCAAAAGACAUGGAGUUGUGUGUAUUCAAUUUUUGUAAAUGUUUUAUCUCCCGAUUCCUAAUGCAAAAAAUAAAACAUUUCUUCGUAGUAAUAAACAUAUGGAGAUUUUGAAAAGUUGUUUGGUAUAUUCAAUGUGGAAUAAAUUAUUUUGAUCAAUUCAAUACAAUAUAUUCAUUUACUAAAUGUUAUAUAUUGUGUAUAUAUAGUGAAAAAUAACAAGACAAUUAUAUCAUCAAAUAUAUAUUAUGAUAAAUUAUGUAAAAGAUAAAAAUGAAUCAUUCAUUAUAUAUUUACAACUAGGUAAUUUACCCGUGCGAAAUAAUUUUUCUAAGCUUUUGAACAACCUUUCCAAUAAUGAUUGUUAUAAGAAAAAAAAUUAGUAGAUUUUAAAAAUAUUUCAAUAGAAAUUAAAUGAUUUAACAUUAUCACAUAUCUCAAGAAUUGUAAAUAUAUAAUGAAUGAUUAAAAAUAUCUUCAUAUCUAAUCAUUUUUAUUUUUUACAUAAUUUAUCUUAAUAUAUGUUUGAUAAUAUAAUUGUCUUGUUAAAACUGAGUGAUGUUUUUAUGUAGCGAUUAAACAUCAUUUUUUCUAUUUUUUGUACAUGAAAAAUAUAGAAUCUGAUAAUUUUAUUGUUAGAAUAUAACUUCUAGUGAAAAAAAUUAUGUGAAAGUUUUCGAUAAUCAAUAUUAGUUAUAAAUAAGUUAAGACCGUUGAAAUUGUACACCACAACAACAUAAAUAAUUUUUUUUUAGAGACAAUCUACUUGUCUGAGGUCAAACGUUCACCACUUUUCGUUAUUGUUACUUUGUUACUCUAAAAAAAUUAUAGAAGGAGAAAAAUAAAAUUGAAACAACAGCAAAAUAAUAUUGUUGACCCUUUUAAAAAUUCAUUCUUCAUUAAUUGCUUCUCUGAAGACCCUUCUAGAUGCUUAAUCAAUGCAACUUUACGAUUUUUUCAGAAAUAUGUAUGUAUAAUUGUUGCAUUAUGAAAGUACAAGUAGAUCAAAAUGUUGGAUUCUACUCAUGUUAAAGAAAUAUUCUCGAACAUUAAAAAACUAAAAAUGAAUCUAACCUAGAUAACUCAAACACUCAACAAUGACUUGGGACAUGAAGGACAACAAAUCUAUGUUAAUAGACAUAUCUUUUGUAGUUUAAGACAUUACUUUUAUUUAGAGCAGGUUUUGUUUCAUAUCCUUCAAAUUAAGCUUGCCGAAAAUAGUCAUAACUCACACCAAAAAUAUUUAGAAGAGCCGAAUGAGAAAGAAAAAAAGAAAGACAUUAAAAGGGCGAAAGCUUUUUCCAAGUGAUCAGAUCAUAUACAUACCAAACGAAAAACAAUCAAUACAAUUUUAAGGAGACAACAAAACAGCGAGAAAAAACUUACAUUAAAAGGAGUAAACUAUGAGAUACCCAAUGAUGAUAACAAAUCAUUCUAACCAAAAAAGUUCUCAUGUUUUGAAAUAACAUACCUCAAAAAAUUGACUAACACUUCAAUCAACUUUCAAUCCUUAAAGUACUCAUAAUAUCCACAUAUAAAAUUUAGUAAAAAUAGAUAACAACAACAUAAAAACCAAAAAAUAUGGGCAUGCAAAGUUAUUAACUCUCAAAGGAUUUUCUAAAGAACACAAAAUCUCAUCCUUGUAUGUGAAGGAAUGUCGUUAUUGAUGAAGAAAUUAGAGAUUUGUAAGAGCUUUUUUAUUGUACCUUCAACAAUUCCAAUAGAGAAACCUUGCUUGAAUACUCAAUUAACGUUUGUUAUUUACCUCAAAAAAUUGACUAACACUUCAAUCAACUUUCAAUCCUUAGAAUACUCAUAAUAUCCACAUAUAAAAUUUAGUAAAAAUAGAUUACAACAACAUAAAAACCAAAAAAUAUGGGUAUGCAAAGUUAUUAACUCUCAAAGGAUUUUCUAAAGAACACAAAAUCUCAUCCUUGUAUGUGAAGGAAUGGCGUUAUUGAUGAAGAAAUUAGAGAUUUGUAAGGGCAUUUUUUAUUGUACCUUCAACAAUUUCAGUAGAGAAAACUUGCUUGAAUACUCAAUUAACGUUUGUUAUUUAAUUUGUACUAACAAAUACUUAUAACAAUAAUUUUGCAGAAACAUAAACAACAAAGUUUAAAGCAUGUACUCAAAAAUAACAAUUAAUAAUAUAAACAUAAAUUAAUGACCGUAAAAAACAUAUCAGGAUAUGUAACAAUAGAAUGAAACAGAAUGGAAAAAAUUGAGUCCACUGAAUGCACAGUCCCCCUUAAGGAAAUUAUUCCCCUCUAGUACCCGAGGUUUAAAGGAAUAGAUCCUCUCAGGAUAGAAUAAUUCUAUUCACCAUUGUAUUGAUACAAAAACAAUGGUGUCAGUGAGUCAUUCAACAGGAGCAAAAUACACAAAUAUUUAAUUGUUUAGAAGAAGAAGAAAUUCAAAAUUUUUGUUGUUUAAAAUGAGAGGAAAUUCCUCUAUUUAUAGACAACGAAGGGUAGUGUGAACAAAUGUAUAUUGUGUCUUAUCGAAAUUGUCACAACUCUUUGGAAAAGUUACAAAAGGUCACAACCUUUAUAAAAGUCAUAAUUUUUCAUAAAAGUUGCAAAAUGACUAAAAUAUCCAUAGAAAGAUAUUAGAUAUUUUUAUCGUUUUAAAAAUUAAUUAACUACAUAUUUUUUUAUAUUUUCCUUUUUUUUUUGUAUUUAUUUUCAUUGCACUUAAUAUCAUACGAACUAAAUUUUUUUCUCUUCUUUAUUUAUUAUUUUUCUCCUUUAUUUAUUUUAAAUUCAUUUUCAUGACUCAUGUUUAAUUAUCUAUUAGAUUGUUACUCUUAAUAUUUAUAACUCUUAUUCUUUUCAUAUUCAUAACUUCCAAUUAUUAAGAGAUGCUACCUAUAAAAGUUCCUAAAUACAUUAUUUGUGUUAUAGUCUUUUCUUCAUUCAACCUCAUUUGUUUUAUCCUUUGAGCUUCCAAUUGUAAUUAGUAUUAAUAAGUAUCUAUUACUCAUCUUUCUUAUCUUGCUUGCACUAUAUAAAGGUGUACAAAUGAAUAGUAAAUUAUGAUUCUCUUCUUUCUAUAAUUUUUUUUAUUGUUUUGCAUUUUCCUCAAUACUAUGUGGACAAGUAAAUUUAUUUUCUUUUGUGUUUAAGAGCUUAUAUUUACAAGGUAACAUGUAAUUAAUAUUAUUAUUUACUAUUUGAUUUAUGUUUUAGUUUAACUUGGUGAAGAAGAUUCUUGAAUUUUGAUUGAUUGUAGAAGAAGGUGUUGAUAAGAACUCGGAAUUUAUGUACUGAUUUUGUAUUUUCAUCCAUUUGUAUUAUUAUGAUCAAAGUCUUAAGAAGGGUGUGUAUGUUGUAUUUUUUCUUUUAUGUUUUUAUUUGUUUUUCUCAUUAUUAGACUUCUUUAAUUUGAUUUUCUAUGAAUUUUCGAAUGUCGUAAUUCUGUAAUUUUAAUCAUUUUAUCGAUCUAUAAAAAAUUACAUGGGAUAAACAUGCAAAUCACGUAUCCAGAAACUUGUUUGAUAUAAGAAUAUGUAAGACUCAGCAUACUAUGAGACAUGAGUGCUUAUAUGAAUAGAUUCAUAUUAGGAGGCUGAUAUUCAUAGCCUUAUAGAGUAAGAUAAAGAUCAAUGGGCUAAAGUUUCUGCCUCUUAUUCUGGGAAGUGAACAUAGAUAUGAAUUUAUGAUCUGAAGCGUUUGAGCAUAGGUCAUGGACAUAAUGCCAAUAUGUGAGAAAUCAACAAGGUGUUGUAACGAGUUAACUUUGAGGAAUACGCUAGACUAUGAAUGGAUUGAUAUACCACCAUAACUUUUUCUGAACACAUCAUUAUAUGAUUAUCAACGCUUGACUUGGUUCCUUACCUUAUCAUCUCCCCCUUAGGUCAGAAGCUGACACCCUAAGGCUAUGGACCUAUUACAUAUUCUCUAUACUAGUCUAUAUUCACUUUACUCUAACAUUCGAAAAAAUGCUAAUCACAUGUCUAUUAAACUCUCCAUGCGCAGGUACUAAGAUUCCUUUUAGGGCUUCUUUCUGAGCUGCUUCUCUUAACUUAUUCUUGCUUCUAUAGAAGUCUUUUGAUAAUCGUUACCCGCAUUGGAUUAUAAUUUUAUCUAACUCUUAAUUAAUAGUCUGACGUCUCCUUCUUAGCCUACUAAUACCGUCCUUCUAAGUUCAUAUCUAUCUAACUAGAGAAAACUUGAAUUGUAUUUAAUUAAGAGGCUCGUCAUUGUCUAUGUAUGAUUCUUUCGACCAAACUCUUAAGGGUAAUAAAGAAUGCUUGCAUCAGUCUACUCCACAUUGACAGCUCAAAUAUAUUAUCUAGGCACACAUAGAAAAUCAUAAACUUAAUUAAAGUCUCAUCUAACUAUAUAUGAUCUUGGGUACACAUCUUAGUGCUCUUGUUUAUCCAAUGACGUAGCCACACUUCAUUACUCUCGUCUAAGGGUCAUAAUACCACACUUGUACCACUCACAUUUAAUGCAAAUUAACACCUUAAUUCCUCACUUACUCUAUGUCAAAAGCCUACUAGAUCAAAUCUCAAAACUAACAUCAUUACCCCCCAUAUUGCCAUUCUUUUUAUCACUAUACUCAUCUCAAAUUCAAGCUUAGUGUCCAGUACUAAACAUGGAUAUCAAUGUCAUUGUUCACAUACUAUACUAACUUAUGACUACUGGAUAAAAUUAAGACACAGUCGCCGACUAAGACCUCAUGACAAGUAAUCAAUCUUUAUCCCCUAGUCUACCUAGUUACAGUUUAUCGCCACAUCCCUUUCACAACCUAAGUACUAUUUACCCCCUUCACUAUACAUUAUUGCCUAAUUAGUUCCAUAAUCCUAUUAAUAUCAUGAGGCUCUCCUUUCAAAAUCAUAAGUCUAGCUUAGAUCUAUUUCCUCAUGACUAUUUGUCCUUCAAACAUAUACUUGGUCUUCGCUAUCACAAUUACAUCAAAUUAAAAUUUAAAAUUUUGACUGCAAAAAAAGCGAAAGAAGCAAUCCAUAGAAAGAUUUGACGCUCUGAAACUUCAAGUUAACCUUCAUGGCUGAAUUCAAAUUAAUUUGUGCUAACUUAUUGAAUAUUUUUUUUCUUCUCUUCAAUGUUACAAAACACAUCUUCAAAAAAUUGAGAAGCCAUGCUCAUCAUUUUUUCCUAUAGAUUCCCCAAACGAGGAAACUUAAAAAGAACAGAAACGUAUCUAUUAUUAAAAGAUUAAAUUUGAACAUAAUUAAUUUAAAAUUUCUUAUUUUACCAUUAAUAAUAUAAUUUUAUACCACAUUGAUAUCACGAAAAUUUAAAAAUCCCAAAUCCCAAAUAUCUUUGGUUUAAAUGUGGCACCUAGCCAAACAUGUUUUUAUAAAUAAUCUUCAUUUAUUUUUGAAAGGUAUAAAAAUCGGCCAAAACUAUGUAGCCCAAGUAAAUGAACGGUAGUUAAAAAAAAAAAAAAAAGGUCAUUCGCACAAAUGCCAAUUUGAUGUGACAUUUUGAUAUUUUUUUCCUCUCAAAUGCAUUGUCUUUAAUUUUAUUCCUAUUGCUUAUUUAAUGAAAAUUUUAUUGGCUAAAAUACCCUUAAAUUUAACUAGACAGAACAUUUUACAUAAUGUUUGUAUACAUUGGAGCAUAAAUUUAUCAUGGGAAUAUUUUUUUAUUUGUUUUUUCGCUGUCAGAGAGAAUAUAUACUUUUCUUUGUUUUUUUUGCCGUCAGAGAGAAUAUAUACUUUUCUUUAUCAUUACCCUCAACUUUAUCAUCUUUCUACUUUAAGACUUUAACAAUAUUCCCAUGAUAACAAUAUUCCUUUACACUGAAUUUUUGAAGCUUUAAAUACUGAAUUCCAUGACAACAAUAUUUAUCUCUUAUCAAACUCUCAAUCUACUAAUUUCCAUACACACUUUACCUUUUACAAAAAAAAUAUUAAUUAAUUUCCAUAUUCCUAAAGAUGGCUGAUGCCGUUGUGUCAUUUGCAGUUCAAAAAUUGGGUGAUUUCCUCAUUCAGGAAGUUAACCUACGUUUAAGUCUAAGAGAGGAUAUGAAGUGGAUGAGAACUGAGCUUCUCUUCAUGCAGUCUUUCCUCAAAGAUACAGAACUAAAACAAUAUGGAGAUCAUACAAUUCAACAAUGGGUAACUGAGAUGAACUCUAUUGCUAAUGACGCUGUUGCUAUACUCGAGACUUACAGUUUAGAGGCUGGUAAAGGUGCUAGUCGUCUCAAGGCGUGCGCUUGCAUAUGUAGGAAGGAGAAGAAAUUCUACAAUGUCGCCAAGGAGAUUCAAUCACUCAAGCAACGAAUCAUGGAUAUCUCUCGUAAAAGAGAUACUUAUAGUAUUACAAAUAUCAAUAGUAAUGCUGGAGAAGGAACAAGUAAUCAGGUUACAACACUGAGGAGAACUACCUCAUAUGUGGAUGACCAGGAUUACAUUUUUGUUGGACUUCAGGAUGUUGUAGAAUCAUUGCUAGCUGAACUUCUCAAAGCAGAGCCUCGUCGAAACGUCCUCUCCAUUCAUGGGAUGGGUGGAUUGGGCAAGACCACUCUUGCCAGAAACCUCUACAACAGUCCUAAUAUAGUCUCAAGCUUCCCUACUCGCACUUGGAUAUGUGUUUCUCAAGAGUACAACACAAUGGAUCUUUUUAAGACUAUCAUAAAAUCCAUCCAAGGUUGCGCCAAGGAAACUCUAGAUUUGUUGGAAAAGAUGGCAGAAACAGAUCUAGAAAAUCACCUUCGUGAUCUAUUAGAAGGAUGCAAAUACCUUGUGGUGGUUGAUGAUGUGUGGCAGAAAGAAGCAUGGGAGAGUUUGAAAAGAGCAUUUCCGGAUAGAAAUAAUGGCAGCAGAGUUAUUAUCACCACGCGCAACCAGGAUGUCGCUGAAAGAGCAAACAACAGAGGUUUUGUCCAUAAACUUCGUUUCCUAAAACAAGAAGAAAGUUGGGAUCUCUUUUGUAGGAAACUACUUGAUGUUCGAGCAAUGGUUCCAGCAAUGGAAAGUCUAGCUAAGGAUAUGGUGGAAAAAUGUAGAGGCUUACCUCUUGCAAUUGUUGUAUUGAGUGGACUACUUUCGCAUAGAUGGGGGCUAGACAAAUGGCAAAACGUGAAAGACUGCCUUUGGAAGGACAUUGAAGAAGACUCUAUUGAAAUCUCCUACAUACUAUCAUUAAGCUUCAACGAUUUGUCAGCUGCGCUCAAGAAGUGUUUUCUCUACUUUGGUGUUUUUCCAGAAGAUCAAGUGAUCGAUGCUGACGACAUAAUGCGGUUGUGGAUGACAGAGGGUUUCAUCAUACCAAGAGGAGAAGAAAGAAUGGAGGAUGUCGCUGAAGGCUUCUUGAAUGAGCUGAUAAGACGAAGCUUGGUUCAAGUAGCUCAAACAUUUUGGGAAAAAGUUACUGUAUGUAGGGUUCAUGAUUUACUUCGUGAUCUUGCCAUACAAAAGGCAUUGGAGGUAAACUUCUUUGACAUUUAUGAUCCAAGAAAGAACUUGAAAUCCACUUCAUGUAUAAGACAUGCCAUUCAUAGUGAAGGAGAAAGGUACCUCUCAUCACUUGAUCUUUCUAACUCGAAGUUGAGGUCAAUUAUGUUCUUUGAUCCACAUAUUUGUAAUGUGUUCCAACAUAUAGAUGUGUUCCGACAUAUAUAUGUGUUGUACUUGGAUAUUGAUUAUGGUAAAGUUAUACCUGAUGCCAUAGGGAGUUUGUACAACCUCAAGUUGUUACGCUUGAGUGUUGUCAGUAAAAUUCCCUCCUCCAUCGGCAACCUCAAGAAUCUACAGACACUUGUUGUUGUCAAUAUGGACAGACGCUUUUGCCAACUACCCCCCGAAACAGCUGACCUAAUAAAUUUAAGACAUUUAGUUGUUCCAUAUUCUAUACCUCUGGCAGGUAUAAGCAAACUCACUAGUCUUCAAGUUCUUCGCCUUGAUUGUGAUCAGUGGAAAGAAGUUGACCCAGUUGAUUUAGUCAAUCUUCGAGAAUUAGAGAUGCGUAAUAUAUACAAAUCUUACUCCCUAAACAACAUUAGCAGCUUGAAAAACCUUAACACUCUCAAAUUGUGUAUUUUGCUUGGUCCACAAUCUACAUAUCCAUUCCCAUCCCUUGAAUUUGUUAAUAGUUGUGAAAAGCUCCAGAAAUUGUUGUUAGGUGGGAGAUUAGAGAAACUGCCUGUGUUUCCAGAUUCCAUCACAAUGAUAUUUCUUUGGGAGUCAAGACUGACAAAAGAUCCGAUGCCUAUUUUGGGAAUGUUACCAAACCUAAGGAAUCUCGAAUUAGAAGCAGCUUAUGAAGGAGAAGAAAUAAUGUGCAGUGAUUACAGCUUCAGUCAACUAGAGCUCCUUCAUCUUUAUGGUCUUGACAACUUAGAAAGAUGGCAUUUAGGCACAAAUGCCAUGCCUCUCAUUAAAGAUCUUGUUAUCCAUCAUUGUCCAAAGCUGAGGGAGAUUCCAGAGAGAAUGAAAGACGUGAAGCAUUUCAAACGUAUAUGAAGUCUUAUAUGAUAAUAGGAAAGGUAAAUAUACAAACACAUCCCAAUCCUUCAUUUUUUUUCUUUUUUAUAUAAAUAAUAAUAUUUUUGUUAAAACAGGAGAUGAAGACAUUCAAGUUGAUGAAGAUGGGUUGUCCAAGCAUCAAUCAAGCUUCCGUCACUUUACUGAUUUUGUGAUUCUAGGCAAAAAUGAGGAUUUUUUUGGUUUUUGGCUUCUUUUUUUUUUUUUAGUGUGUGGAAUUGGUUGGAAGAGAUUUUUUUUUUGGGGGAAGUGGGGGUGGNNNNNNNNNNNNNNNNNNNNNNNNNNNNNNNNNNNNNNNNNNNNNNNNNNNNNNNNNNNNNNNNNNNNNNNNNNNNNNNNNNNNNNNNNNNNNNNNNNNNGGGAUCACCCCCGACGAAAAAUCCACGAUGAUCUCCUCGAUCUUCUCUUCUUCUUCUCCUUCUUCUCUUCUUCUUCUCUUCUUCUUCUCCUUCUUCUCUNNNNUCCUCGAUUUCCUCUUCUUCUCUUCUUCUUCUCUUCUUCUUCUCAAGCCCUAGCCUUCACUCUCUUAAAAUGGAACAAAAUGAUCCAAGUAUCAGCCUUACUCAACAAUAUAACCUCAAAAGAAAUAGCCAGGGAAAAGACCAAAAUGCCCUUAAUUUUCCGGAGAGAUUUCCCUGCCAACAGCCCAACUUCUAAAGGGCACAACUCGCUCAUACGAACUCGGAAUUGAGCAAACUCGGCGGUAUUGGAAAUAUCAUUCCACAAGCUUCACAACCAUAACUAGAACUACUCCUAACUCAUCCUGAGAUGGAAGUUAUGACUGCUCAAAGUUGGCCAAAAAUUCAUUUUUUUCACACUUAGCCAAAUUUCCAAAAUUUUAAAUUCUUUCCAAAAAUGACUAUUUUUGAUUUUUAAGCCGCUUCAUAGUUAUUUCAUCUUACCGGAUGUUACAAUAUCUCCCCCUUGGGAACAUUCGUCCUCGAAUGAGGUUACUCUUACAAGGCUAAGGGUGCAACAACAACUCAAACACCCAACAAGCAACUAUACAAACACAACAACAACCACAACAUGCUCAUUAUAAUUAAAAGAGCACUAAAAAGGAAAUUAAUACCUUAAUCUGCAUUUCCUUCGGAUUCAAAGAGAUGUGGAUAUCUCUUCUUCAUGUCUUCUUCGGCUUUCCCCAAAGUGGCUUCCUCAACAAAUUGGUUCCUCCAUAGGACCUUGACUGAGGCUACUUCUUUCGUUCUCAACCUACGAACUUGACGAUCUAAAAUCUGAACAGGAACCUCCUCAUAAGAUAAGUUAUCCUUGAUCUUAAAACUUUCAGUCGGUAGGAUAAAAUGAAGGAUCGCCUAUGCACUUCUUCAACAUGGAGAUGUGAAAUAUUGGAUGAACCGCUUCUAGUUCCUGUACUUUGGUAUUUGUCAACUGCGCUCAAGCAGUGUUUCCUGUACUUUGGUAUUUUUCCAGAAUAUCACGUGGUCCAUUUGAUCACAUAUUAUGGUUGUGGAUGGCUGAAGGAUUUGUACCAACAGGAAAAGAAAUAAUGGAGGAUGUUGUUGAAGGCUUCUUCAAUGAGUUGAUAAGACGAAGCUUGAUACAAGUGGUACACACAUUUUGGGAAAAAGUUGGUAAAUGUAGGAUUCAUGAUCUGCUUCACGAUCUUGCCGUACAAAAAGCAUUGGAGGUAAACUUUUUUGACAUUUAUGAUCCAAGAAAGCACUCCAUAUCCUCCUUGUGUCUUAAACAUGCCAUUCAUAGUCAAGGAAAAAGGUAUCUCUCACUCAAUCUUUCUAACUUGAAGGUUAGGUCACUUAUGUUCCUUGAUACGGAUAUUUUAAAGAUGGGUCUUAUAAAGUUCCAUAAUGUGUUCCAACAUCUAUAUGUGUUGUACUUGGAGAUUCAUGUUGACAAUAUGUGUAUACUGUAUAGUACCUGAUGCCAUAGGAGGUUUGUACCACCUCAAGUUCUUAAGAUUGAGAGGUAUCCAUGAUCUUCCCUCUUCCAUUGGCAAGCUCAAGAAUUUAUAGACACUUCUUGUCAAUGACUAUGGAUACUUUUGCAACUACCCCGCGAGACAGCUGACCUGAUAAAUCUAAGACAUUUAGUUGCUUCGUAUUCAAAACCUCUGAAACGUAUAAGCAAACUCACUAGUCUUCAAGUUCUUAAAGGCAUCCAUUGUGAUCAGUGGAAAGAUGUUGACCCUGUUGAUUUAGUCAAUCUUCGAGAAUUAAGCAUGCAUGAGAUUACCAAAACUUACUCACUAAACAACAUUAGCAGCUUGAAAAACCUUAGCACUCUAAAAUUGUGCUGUGUAGCUUAUGUAUCAUUCCCAAACCUUGAAUAUCUUAGUUCUUGUCAAAACCUUCAGAAAUUGUGGUUGGAGGGGCAAAUAGAAAAACUGCCUCUCUCAUAGCAGUUUCUGAAUUCCAUCGCCAUGAUGGUCCUUCGGUACUCAGAACUCAUGGAAGAUCCCAUGUCUACUCUAGGGAUGCUCCCAAAUCUAAGGAAUCUCGAUUUUGUUUAGAGCUUACGGAGGAAAAGAAAUUACCUGCAGUGAUAACAGCUUCAGCCAACUGGAGAUCCUUCGUCUUGAUUGUCUUGAGAAC
rnacentral:lncRNA from 1 species